CGCCUAAGCCAUGCGAGUCAUAUGUAGCAAUACAUGGCGUACUGCUCAGUAACACGUGGAUAACCUGCCCUUGGGACCGGCAUAACCCCGGGAAACUGGGGAUAAUUCCGGAUAACGCAUAUUUGCUGGAAUGCUUUAUGCGUCAAAAGGAUUCGUCUGCCCAAGGAUGGGUCUGCGGCCUAUCAGGUAGUAGUGGGUGUAAUGUACCUACUAGCCAGCGACGGGUACGGGUUGUGAGAGCAAGAGCCCGGAGAUGGAUUCUGAGACAUGAAUCCAGGCCCUACGGGGCGCAGCAGGCGCGAAAACUUUACAAUGCGGGAAACCGUGAUAAGGGGACACCGAGUGCCAGCAUCAUAUGCUGGCUGUCCGGAUGUGUAAAAUACAUCCGUUAGCAAGGGCCGGGCAAGACCGGUGCCAGCCGCCGCGGUAACACCGGCGGCCCGAGUGGUGAUCGUGAUUAUUGGGUCUAAAGGGUCCGUAGCCGGUUUGGUCAGUCCUCCGGGAAAUCUGAUAGCUCAACUAUUAGGCUUUCGGGGGAUACUGCCAGACUUGGAACCGGGAGAGGUAAGAGGUACUACAGGGGUAGGAGUGAAAUCUUGUAAUCCCUGUGGGACCACCUGUGGCGAAGGCGUCUUACCAGAACGGGUUCGACGGUGAGGGACGAAAGCUGGGGGCACGAACCGGAUUAGAUACCCGGGUAGUCCCAGCCGUAAACGAUGCUCGCUAGGUGUCAGGCAUGGCGCGACCGUGUCUGGUGCCGCAGGGAAGCCGUGAAGCGAGCCACCUGGGAAGUACGGCCGCAAGGCUGAAACUUAAAGGAAUUGGCGGGGGAGCACUACAACGGGUGGAGCCUGCGGUUUAAUUGGAUUCAACGCCGGAA
rnacentral:rRNA from 1 species